GGUGAGUAACGCGUAUGCAACCUACCUAUAACUAAAGAAUAGCCCGAAGAAAUUUGGAUUAAUACUUUAGAUUAUCUGAGAGAGGCAUCUCUCACAGAUUAAAGCUCCGGCGGUUAUAGAUGGGCAUGCGUGCCAUUAGCUUGUUGGUGAGGUAACGGCUCACCAAUGCUAUGAUGGCUAGGGGGUCUUAAAGGAUGAUCCUCCACACUGGUACUGAGACACGGACCAGACUCCUACGGGAGGCAGCAGUGAGGAAUAUUGGUCAAUGGGCGAAAGUCUGAACCAGCCAUGCCGCGUGCAGGAUGACGAUCCUAUGGAUUGUAAACUGCUUUUGUACGGGAAGAAUAUUUUCUACGUGUAGGAAAUUGACGGUACCGUGCGAAUAAGCAUCGGCUAACUCCGUGCCAGCAGCCGCGGUAAUACGGAGGAUGCAAGUGUUAUCCGGAUUUAUUAGGUUUAAAGGGUACGCAGGCGGAAGAGUAAGUCAGUGGUGAAAUCCUACAGCUUAACUGUAGAACUGCCAUUGAUACUGUUCUUCUUGAGUGCAGUUGAGGCAGGCGGAAUGCGUAGUGUAGCGGUGAAAUGCAUAGAUAUUGCGCAGAACUCCGAUUGCGAAGGCAGCUUGCAAAACUGUAACUGACGCUCAUGUACGAAAGCGUGGGGAGCGAACAGGAUUAGAUACCCUGGUAGUCCACGCCGUAAACGAUGAUCACUCGUUGUGUGCGAU
rnacentral:rRNA from 1 species